ACCGGAUGACGAAUCCCAAAUAGGACGAAAUGUGCAUCCUGGAU
rnacentral:hammerhead_ribozyme from 1 species